GAGUUGUAUGAAAGGAGAGAAGGUUAGCACUCUCCUUGAGAAGGAUGGAAGAGGUCCUAGUGGCCUUUACAACACAAUAUAUGGUUAAGGCAUUGCCAUCUACUUUGUGGCAACUAAUUCACCCCCACCCUUCU